rnacentral:rRNA from 1 species
CCUACGGGUGGCUGCAGUGAGGAAUAUUGGUCAAUGGGCGCGAGCCUGAACCAGCGAAGCAGCGUGAAGGAUGACUCCCCUACGGGUUGUAAACUUUUUUUAUAAAGGAAUAAAGUGAGGCACGUGUGCCUUUUUGUAUGUACUUUAUGAAUAAGGCUCGGCUAACUCCGUGCCAGCAGCCGCGGUAAUACGGAGGAUCCGAGCGUUAUCCGGAUUUAUUGGGUGUAAAGGGAGAGUAGAUGGGUUGUUAAGUCAGUUGUGAAAGUUUGCGGCUCAACCGUAAAAUUGCAAUUGAUACUGGCAGCCUUGAGUACAGUGGAGGUAGGCGGAAUUCUGGGUGUAGCGGUGAAAUGCUUAGAUAUCACGAAGAACUCCGAUUGCGAAGGCAGCCUACGAAACUGCCACUGACAUUGAUGCUCGAAAGUGUGGGUAUCAAACAGGAUUAGAUACCCGGUAGUC